rnacentral:pre_miRNA from 1 species
AAAGUACUCCCUCUGUUCCAAAAUUCUUGUCUUAGAUUUGUCUAGAUACGGAUGUAUCAAGUCACAUUUUAGUAUUAGAUACAUCCGUAUCUAGACAAAUCUAAGACAAGAAAUUUGGGACAGAGGGAGUAGUUG